CAUGCAGUCGAACGGUAGCACAGAGAGCUUGCUCUCGGGUGACGAGUGGCGCAUUUGUGAGUAAUGUCUGGGAAACUGCCUGAUGGAGGGGGAUAACUACUGGAAACGGUAGCUAAUACCGCAUAACGUCGCAAGACCAAAGAGGGGGACUUCGGGCCUCUUGCCAUCAGAUGUGCCCAGAUGGGAUUAGCUAGUAGGUGGGGUAACGGCUCACCUAGGCGACGAUCCCUAGCUGGUCUGAGAGGAUGACCAGCCACACUGGAACUGAGACACGGUCCAGACUCCUACGGGAGGCAGCAGUGGGUAAUAUUGCACAAUGGGCGCAAGCCUGAUGCAGCCAUGCCGCGUGUAUGAAGAAGGCCUUCGGGUUGUAAAGUACUUUCAGCGGGGAGUAAGGUGUUGAGUUUAAUAACCUCGGCAAUUGACGUUACCCGCAGAAGACGCACCGGCUAACUCCGUGCCAGCAGCCGCGGUAAUACGGAGGGUGCAAGCGUUAAUCGAAAUUACUGUGCGUAAAGCGCACGC
rnacentral:rRNA from 1 species